AAACCGUGUUACGGACACUUCCGUAAAAGGUCCUUGAAUCACUCCCAUGUCUCAAACAAUGAUUCGAGCUCCAUCUGUAUGAAUGAGGAUAUCUCAUUACGAAGCCU